UACGGAGGGUGCAAGCGUUAAUCGGAAUUACUGGGCGUAAAGCGCACGUAGGUGGUUUGUUAAGUCAGCUGUGAAAUCCCCGGGCUCAACCUGGGCACUGCAGUUGAAACUGGCAAGCUAGAGUAGGGUAGAGGGGUGUGGAAUUCCAGGUGUAGCGGUGAAAGUGCGUAGAUAUCUGGAGGAACACCGGUGGCGAAGGCGGCAUCCUGGACCGGCAUUGACGCUGAGGCGCGAAAGCCAGGGGAGCAAACGGG
rnacentral:rRNA from 1 species